UUAAGGGCGCACGGUGGAUGCCUUGGCACUAGAAGCCGAUGAAGGACGUUACUAACGACGAUAUGCUUUGGGUAGCUGUAAGUAAGCGUUGAUCCAGAGAUUUCCGAAUGGGGGAACCCAGCAUGAGUUAUGUCAUGUUAUCGACAUGUGAAUUCAUAGCAUGUCAGAAGGCAGACCCGGAGAACUGAAACAUCUUAGUACCCGGAGGAAGAGAAAGAAAAAUCGAUUCCCUGAGUAGCGGCGAGCGAAACGGGAAGAGCCCAAACCAACAAGCUUGCUUGUUGGGGUUGUAGGACACUCUAUACGGAGUUACAAAAGAACAUGUUAGACGAAUCAUCUGGAAAGAUGAAUCAAAGAAGGUAAUAAUCCUGUAGUCGAAAACAUAUUCUCUCUUGAGUGGAUCCUGAGUACGACGGAGCACGUGAAAUUCCGUCGGAAUCUGGGAGGACCAUCUCCUAAGGCUAAAUACUCUCUAGUGACCGAUAGUGAACCAGUACCGUGAGGGAAAGGUGAAAAGCACCCCGGAAGGGGAGUGAAAGAGAACUUGAAACCGUGUGCUUACAAGUAGUCAGAGCCCGUUAAUGGGUGAUGGCGUGCCUUUUGUAGAAUGAACCGGCGAGUUACGAUCUGAUGCAAGGUUAAGCAGCAAAUGUGGAGCCGCAGCGAAAGCGAGUCUGAAUAGGGCGUUGAGUAUUUGGUCGUAGACCCGAAACCAGGUGAUCUACCCUUGGUCAGGUUGAAGUUCAGGUAACACUGAAUGGAGGACCGAACCGACUUACGUUGAAAAGUGAGCGGAUGAACUGAGGGUAGCGGAGAAAUUCCAAUCGAACUUGGAGAUAGCUGGUUCUCUCCGAAAUAGCUUUAGGGCUAGCCUCAAGUGAUGAUUAUUGGAGGUAGAGCACUGUUUGGACGAGGGGCCCCUCUCGGGUUACCGAAUUCAGACAAACUCCGAAUGCCAAUUAAUUUAACUUGGGAGUCAGAACAUGGGUGAUAAGGUCCGUGUUCGAAAGGGAAACAGCCCAGACCACCAGCUAAGGUCCCAAAAUAUAUGUUAAGUGGAAAAGGAUGUGGCGUUGCCCAGACAACUAGGAUGUUGGCUUAGAAGCAGCCAUCAUUUAAAGAGUGCGUAAUAGCUCACUAGUCGAGUGACACUGCGCCGAAAAUGUACCGGGGCUAAACAUAUUACCGAAGCUGUGGAUUGUCCUUUGGACAAUGGUAGGAGAGCGUUCUAAGGGCGUCGAAGCAUGAUCGCAAGGACAUGUGGAGCGCUUAGAAGUGAGAAUGCCGGUGUGAGUAGCGAAAGACGGGUGAGAAUCCCGUCCACCGAUUGACUAAGGUUUCCAGAGGAAGGCUCGUCCGCUCUGGGUUAGUCGGGUCCUAAGCUGAGGCCGACAGGCGUAGGCGAUGGAUAACAGGUUGAUAUUCCUGUACCACCUAGUAUCGUUUUAAUCGAUGGGGGGACGCAGUAGGAUAGGCGAAGCGUGCUGUUGGAGUGCACGUCCAAGCAGUAAGGCUGAGUGUUAGGCAAAUCCGGCACUCAUAAGGCUGAGCUGUGAUGGGGAGAGGAAAUUGUUUCCUCGAGUCGUUGAUUUCACACUGCCGAGAAAAGCCUCUAGAUAGAUAACAGGUGCCCGUACCGCAAACCGACACAGGUAGUCAAGAUGAGAAUUCUAAGGUGAGCGAGCGAACUCUCGUUAAGGAACUCGGCAAAAUGACCCCGUAACUUCG
rnacentral:rRNA from 1 species